rnacentral:rRNA from 1 species
GACGUAGGGCGCAAGCGUUGUCCGGAUUUAUUGGGCGUAAAGAGCUCGUAGGCGGCUUGUUGCGUCGUCCGUGAAAACCCGCAGCUCAACUGCGGGCUUGCGGACGAUACGGGCAGGCUGGAGUUCGGUAGGGGAGACUGGAAUUCCUGGUGUAGCGGUGAAAUGCGCAGAUAUCAGGAGGAACACCGGUGGCGAAGGCGGUUCUCUGGGCAUGGCCUGACGCUGAGGAGCGAAAGUGUGGGGAGCGAACAGG